rnacentral:rRNA from 1 species
CAUCACUACGCUAGAUGCAUAUCAAUAAGCGGAGGAAAAGAAACUAACAAGGAUUCCCCUAGUAACGGCGAGUGAAGCGGGAAGAGCUCAAAUUUGAAAUCUUAAAGGGCUUCCCUUUACGAAUUGUAGUUUAAAAAAAAGUGUUUUCUGUUGGAGUUUCGGUAAAAGUUCUUUGGGAUAGGACAUCAUAGAGGGUGAGAAUCCCGUAUUUGACCGUUACUUUCCAGCUGUGUGAUACACUUUCAAAGAGUCGGAUUGUUUGGGAAUGCAGUCCAAAAUGGGUGGUAAAUUUCAUCUAAAGCUAAAUAUUGGCGAGAGACCGAUAGCGAACAAGUACCGUGAGGGAAAGAUGAAAAGAACUUUGAAAAGAGAGUUAAACAGUACGUGAAAUUGUCAAAAGGGAAGCGUUUGACACCAGUGUUGUUUAGUUGAAAAUCAAUUCAAUAAUUUUUGAUUUUAAGUAGUAUUGACUUCAUCAGCUUGCUGCUUUCUUUUCAGGAAUUAUUGAAUGCACUUUUCAGUUAACAAGUCAACAUCAAUUUCUUUUGUUGUAAAAGGGUAAGAGGAAGGUGGCUUACGCUUCGGCGUAAGUGUUUAUAGCCUUUUACCUCUGCAAUCGGAGAGAUUGAGGACAGCAGCGUAGACUCUUCGGGGUUAGAUACACUUGUGCUAAGCUAUAGCCUUGUAUAGACAACUUGUUGACUAUGCUCAGUCAUGUAGCUUACUCGCUUGUGCUAUUUUACCUACGCUUAGGAUGUUGACACACGCGCGUGCUCG